UACGGAGGGUGCGAGCGUUAUCCGGAAUUACUGGGUUUAAAGGGUGCGUAGGCGGCGCAGUAAGUCAGGAGUGAAAGUUUGCGGCUCAACCGUAAAAUUGCUUUUGAUACUGCUGUGCUAGAAUUAGGAUGAGGUCAGCGGAAUGUGGCAUGUAGCGGUGAAAUGCAUAGAUAUGCCAUAGAACACCAAUUGCGAAGGCAGCUGGCUAGACCUAUAUUGACGCUGAGGCACGAAAGCGUGGGGAACGAACAGG
rnacentral:rRNA from 1 species